UACGUAGGGUCGAGCGUUGUCCGGAAUUAUUGGGCGUAAAGAGCUCGUAGGCGGUCUGUUGCGUCGGUUGUGAAACCUGGGGCUACAACCUCCGAGGCCUGCCAAUCGAUACGGGCAGGACUAGAGUUCGGUAGGGGAGACGUGGAAGUUCCUUGGUGUAGCGGUGAAAUGCGCAGAUAUCAGGAGGAACACCAAUGGCGAAGGCAGCUCGCUGGGACGUGACUGACGCUGAGACGCGAAAGCGUGGGGAGCAAACAGG
rnacentral:rRNA from 1 species